rnacentral:misc_RNA from 1 species
AGGUCGUAACAAGGUUUCCGUAGGUGAACCUGCGGAAGGAUCAUUACCCUUCAUCGGGGGGCUGGAUCCAGAUUGCAGGGCUUCGGCUCUGCUUUCUGCCCUACCCUUUCUGAUUAUACCCAUGUUUUGUGCGUACCAGUUGUUUCCUUGGUGGGCUUGCCUGCCGAUAGGACAUCAUUAAACCUUUUGUAAUUGCAGUCAGCGUCAGUAAAACAUAAUAAUUACAA